rnacentral:lncRNA from 1 species
GCUGCGCGAACUCAUCAGAAGCGCCGCCUCCACCCUAAUCCCACUUCUGUCGGCCUGCGGCCUGUGCGAGCUCCGAUCCGCCGCCUCCACCGGAAUCGCCUCCGCUGCCGUCGGCCUGCGGGAGCGCUUCGAACCGGCAAGGAUGAAAUCGCGCAGGGCGCUGUGGAUUUCCAGGGAACGGACCAGAAGAACGGCGAACUACGAAGACCGGGAGAACCCCUUCUGGGCCCUUGCAGGUAUGCCGCCGCCGUCGUCUGUGCCAUGCCAACUACAGUCGACUGGUGGCACUGGGAUGGAGUCAAGCCCGGAGCACCUCCCUUCGCCGCCGUGCCAGGCAAGGACACCAUCGCCGCCCCCGAGUGGGAGGGCAUCAUCGCCCAACUCCCCUGGGAAGAGGGGGCAUGCCCGGAGAGGGUACGAUCGUCGCCGAUGAGUGGGAGGGCAUCAUCGUCAUUGCAGCAGCUCCCCUGGGAAGAGAGGACAUGCCCGGAGAGGAUACCAUCUCUGCCAAAGAAGCAGCAGCUCCCCUGGGAAGAGAGGACAUGCCCGGAGAGGAUACCAUCUCUGCCAAAGAAGAAAAUGUAUUGGUUUGCUCGCUCUCGGGAAGCCAAUUCCGUGCAAGUAUCACGUCCAGGGGAAGCAUCAUAUCCUGAGGCAACCGAGGGCAAACCAGAGUAUAAUCUGCACGUCUUGAAGAGCAUGAAGAAGAAGAAGAAAAAGAAGAAGAAGCGGGGCAAAAGGAAUAAGAGAGGUCAAGGCGGCUCCGAGGACAAGAGCCAAGAGAAGCAAGAGGUAGCACAAGAGCAUCUGGGCUCGGUGUCGUCCUCAUACAGCUCUCCGCUGCGUGAACCGCAAGCUCCACUUGUGCCUAUGUGGACGAGUCCUUCUGGAGAGGUGGUGUAUGGCAUCACCGAUGAUCCCACAGCUGCAGAAGCCUAUCAUUGGGCUUUUCACGAGUACAAGAACAAGAGAGCACGCCAGGAACUAUUACCGACAGUAAGGUCGUCAAUCUCUGCUGCUAUUGAACACUAUAAUCCCGAGCAGAAGAAAACACUCCUAAAUGCUUCCAAAUCCAUCGUGAGCCUUUCAGCUUAUCACGAUGGUAGAGAGAUUAAUCAGGGAACUGGUAUAAUUAUCGAGUGCGAUGAAGUGAAGAAUUCUGCUAUCAUUUUAACUUCUGCUUGGCUCAUUUGCAUAAAGAAACCUUUUGAUGAUUGGUCGCAUAAAGAUUAUGCUCCUGUGGCUAAGGUCACUGUUCACAUGUUGGAUGACACGAUCUCAGUGUGUCGAUUGCUGUACUUCAGCAAGCAUUUCGAUAUUGCCUUAUUUGAAACUGUAGGAGGGCUAACUAUACCGAUUAUGCCAUUGAAAUCUGAUUUGGAAUAUGGCCAGGAUUUCUGUGUGCUCACCAGAGACAUAAAUAUAGAUUUGAUUUGCACAACAGUCAAAGUGAAGUACUUAGAUCCGUAUGAGCACCAACACAAUCACUAUAUGUUCAUUGGUGGUUCCAUUCCCAAGUGUGGUACUGGAGGUGCAUUGGCAGAUUUCAGUGGAAACACUGUUGGGAUGUUAUUCUGCACCUUGCCCAUGGUUGCAUUCCUACCGAGCUCCCUGAUCCUCACGUGCCUAAGAUUGUGGAAGAAGUUUGGGCAAAUUGUUCGACCUCAGCUUGGUUUGAAGUUUAAAACAGUGGAUUUUCAAGAGAUGACGCUUAUUGAGUUGCUGUCUCGUAAAUACAAUAUUACCUCUGGUCUUAUUGUAGGAGAGGUUUCAGCUGAAUGUGCUGCUGAGAAACUUGGCAUUCGAGUUGGGGAUAUUAUUCUCUCUCUCCAGGGAGAGAGCAUUUCAAGUAUAAUCCAGUUGGAGAAUAUAUUGCUCAGUAUUGGUGAGAGAUAUCUUGAGGAGGGUAACGACUCCAGCUCUAAGGUUGAUAUCAAGGUUGGUCUAUUUCAUGUGCGUAAAUGUACCAGAAGAUUUAUCACUUUAUCAGUACGGUUGUCUGGUGAUAUUGAAGUCUUUCGCUGAGCUCGAUGGCGACCUCCUGACGAACAGAAGAGAUGGUGAGACGACAAGUUAGUACUGCAUGUUGGAAGGAAUGAAGUCUUUUUAGAGGAGUGGUGUUCAAAGUUUUUGGUCUGGCAGGUUAUACUCUGAUGUCUGCAAGUCUGUUCGUGGUCUUGAUACAUGAUUUCUAUUGUUGGGUUUCCAAGUGUGUGCUUGCAGUUGCACCCAUUAGUCCCUUGCCACAUUCUUGCGGUUUUACACCCAUCCUUGUGUGAAUUUUCGGUCGGGAUCUCGUCAGGUGAAGGAAUCGCACUGAU